rnacentral:rRNA from 1 species
UACAGAGGUCUCAAGCGUUGUUCGGAUUCAUUGGGCGUAAAGGGUGCGUAGGUGGCGCUGUAAGUCGGGUGUGAAAUUUCGGAGCUUAACUCCGAAACUGCAUUCGAUACUGCCGUGCUUGAGGACUGGAGAGGAGACUGGAAUUACGGUGUAGCGGUGAAAUGCGUAGAUAUCGUAAGGAAGACCAGUGGCGAAGGCGGGUCUCUGGACAGUUCCUGACGCUGAGGCACGAAGGUCAGGGGGAGCAAACGGGG